rnacentral:rRNA from 1 species
UACGAAGGGUGCAAGCGUUACUCGGAAUUACUGGGCGUAAAGCGUGCGUAGGUGGUGAGUUAAGUCUGAUGUGAAAUCCCCGGGCUCAACCUGGGAAUGGCAUUGGAUACUGGCUCGCUAGAGUGCGGUAGAGGGUGGUGGAAUUCCCGGUGUAGCAGUGAAUGCGUAGAGAUCGGGAGGAACAUCUGUGGCGAAGGCGGCCACCUGGACCAACACUGACACUGAGGCACGAAAGCGUGGGGAGCAAACAGG